rnacentral:rRNA from 1 species
UGAGUAACACGUGAGUAACCUGCCUUUACACAGGGAUAGCCUCGGGAAACCCGGGAUUAAAACCUGAUGAAACUAUCAAAUCACAUGAUUAAGAAAGUUAAAAACUCCCGGUGGUAAAAGAUGGACUCGCGUCCCAUUAGCUAGUUGGUGAAGGUAACGGCCCACCAAGGCAACGAUGGGUAGCCGGCCUGAGAGGGUGAACGGCCACAUUGGAACUGAGAAACGGUCCAAACUCCUACGGGAGGCAGCAGCU